rnacentral:lncRNA from 12 species
GCUGUUUUAAUUCUCUUUAAUAGGGAAGUAUUGUAUUUUGUGGCAUGCAAGCUUUCAUUUGGAAACAGUUUUCUCCCUCUUCCUUUUUUCCCAUAAUUAUUCCAGAAAUGAUAAUGACCACAGACAUAGUGUGGUUUGUCUAGCACUUUACUUGUAUAUGUUUUAUAAUAAGGUAAUGCAUCGAGCACGCAGCCUGAAAGCUGACUUGUUGCCUUGCUGCCCUAAAAGCCUAUGAUUCACAGCAACGUUGUGUUGGAAGGUACCUUCCAAAACUGAUUUCAGACAACCUUCUGAGGCAGCAUAAGGGAUUAAUGAUCUACAACAAAAUAGUGAGAGCUUUGAUGAUAACCAAGCAAAUGUUUAAUUACCACAAAUAUUAAUGUCUUGCUAGAAAUCAAGUCAAAAGUAAAAAAAAAAAAAAAAAAAAAAAAAACUUUCUAACUACAGAUUCACAUGCACUGGAUAGCGAUAUAUCAUAGGAAAGGAUACAAUAUGCUGCCUGCUCUGUACACAGGAUGUGACACGAUCAUUGGAUUCAGAUGGAGUCCUUCUUUCAUAAUGUACAGACUUCCUAUUUAGGUUUGGGAUGAGGAAAGAUGUCCACAUCACUCUCUCACUAUAUAAAUUCUCCUCAGUUCCUCUCACAUUCAGAGGCUGGCAAUGGCAGAGUUUAAGCACAUUCAGGACUCCAGCAGCAGCUCACAGAACAACUUUUACUGUGUACUAAAUGAGGACAUUAACAAGAAACCAUCACACACAUGGAAAGGUCGCAUUUGGAAUAAACAGUUUUGCUUUCUUCUGAUGUGUGGCAGUGUCAUACUCUUCAUGGCUCUGUUGAUCACAGUAUCUGUAAAAUUGCAGCACCAAUACAGUAAACUGACCGAGGUAGAGAAUGAAGUGGCCAAUCUGACUUCUUCUUUAGCUUUGCUUUCUUCAAACCAACAAGACACAUUGCAACACCAAUACAGUAAACUGACCGAGGUAGAGAAUGAAGUGGCCAAUCUAACUUCUUCUUUAGCUUUGCUUUCUUCAAACCAACAAGAAACAUAUGACAGAUUUAUGGAGAUGGUCGGUGAACUGAAAGCUGAUCUGAAUAGCAGAAUAACAAAUUUGACUCAGCAUAAACCUGUUCUGAGCUGUAAAGCUGGGUGGCAGCCUUUUCUUUCCAACUGCUAUGAAUUUUCCAGUAAUAAAGUGAGCUGGCAAACGGCACGUUUAUACUGCAAUGGACAAGGCACCCUGCUGCUCAUCCUGGGGAAUGACUCCAGGGAGUGGGUUAGUGAUACACAGACGCAAACAUUGUAUAGAAAUUAAAUAUAAUCUCAUGUAAUGUCUAUGUCAUUUGUUUCAUUCAGGAUUUUAUUGUGCAACACGCUGUUCUUUCAUCUGAAUC